GGAAACUAGGCAACAAAGGAGGAAUACAAACAGAAUUGCUUGAGCACUUGGAGCAAAAUCAGAAAGACCAAAACCUAGCUGCAGAUAAAAGUACUGAGGAACAUAAGGGAUAGAAUGUCAAAAUGUGAGGUCUGGAAAUUCAAAAGCAAAGUAAUGGUCCUGUCUUGCAUCCCGAUGGUUGGAAACUGAUCUAUGGGGACUAUGAAAAAAUGCAAGAUCAUGCAUCAACAUGUAUUGAAUAAGAAAAAAAAGAAAGUAAUACAAACCAAUGUUUACUUAAACAAUAACCAUUGACAGCAAGAGACACACAGAUGGAAAUCCAAUAGCUUCUAUCUCAGUGGGAGGUUUCAUUUGAAGACCUUGAUGGGGAUGUGAUUGAACUGGAGCACUCUAAUUUACAUCAUGGAGAAUCUAUCAUGAUGUCUUUUUUAUGGCACUGCUGUUCCAAACUAGGUCUCCUAUGAGAAGCUGGUCACAAGGAGGGAGAAGGAAAGACUUCAGUUUGAAUAAGAGGAAAAAGCAGACUUUCAAGUACUACCAAAUACAAGCUAUAUUACAAUAGUCUGCUCUCCUACAGACACAAGUAAUGGCAGAACCAUGACUUUGGAUUUUUUUUUGAAGAGUCUGGUAAAGAGAACAGCAGAGGAGCUAUAGGGCAUAUGUGAUGUGCAGUGCUGUAUUGCCUUAUAGGUUAAGGAAGGAACAGAAUUGCAUAAUGUCCUGCAAGUAAAUGGCCCAAAAUGUCCUUUUUAAGUGUUACUAUUUCAUUUACAAUGAUAGAAUGAAAGAGUAGAGAGAAGUUGUCCAUUAUAAUGAGUGCAGAACUAAUUCUUUCACUCAGGGAAUGUUAGUGUCAGCAAAAUGUAUGGAGAGGUCCUUGACAGAAAAAGCCCUAGAAGUAAUGGAAAGUGCCAGCAAAGAAUUCUAUGAUGCAAGCAUAAUUUUCUGUUAAAUUCUACCAGAUGGUCCACAAGGCCUAUAAAAGUUCUUUCCAGUUAUAAAUCUUACAGAAUUUUUACUCCCAGGGCUAAUCUUGUAAUCGCUAAUCAGCGAAAGCUGAAGUUCUUUCUUUUUCUGUGAUUACACACAAAGGUGUUUUACUUCUAGUCUGCCUGACCUUUUGGGGAAAGCAAAUUCUUUAUUAUUGAUCAGGAGGUAAAUCUACUGGAGGAGGGGGGAGUAGCAUAAUCCUUGCGAAGUACAGGCAGAGUCUGCUUGGGUGUUUGGUAACAGAGUGAUUGUGGUAGGAGGUCAUUUUCUUCCAUAU